GAAAGCAAAAGCAGUUAAAAAAGGAAAAGCCAGCAGCCCUCAUAAACACAUUCUCUGUUCUAUUCCCGCCCCUUUUUUCUGUAAAUACUGUCUUGGCAGGGAUGGGAUGGGCCAAGCAAGGGCUUGCACAGAGCAAACGUAUCAGGCCGAGUCUGCCCUUUCCCUGCAGUCACUGCACGAAUGGCCCAGCCAGUCGGACAGCUUUAGAAACUACAGGAGAAUCUUCCAGGGAAGGGAAGGGAAUGAAAGCGUGUAAGCACUCGGGUUAAAACACAGCCAGAAGCAAACUGCAGAACUCCUCUUCGUUUCCCAUCUCAGCUUCCUCUAAUGACAACAGCAGCAGAAGCAGCAGAGGUGUUGCACCAUGUGAGCUACAACAGGGAUCAGCGCUCGGGACUACUACUGUCUCAAGAGAUGAGGAAGAAGAUUCAGCGAGUCUGUUACAGGGAACAGCUGACUAACUGUGCUCAUACAUGCAGCUAGCAUCUGUCCAUGUUCGAUAUCGCUGAAGGAACCUGCCUUUUUCGCCUCAGGAAGCAAACACUACACCUUCAAAGUAAGGUGCUUCUUGGGUAUUGAAGAAAAAAAUUGCAGAACUUCUCCAAGCUCUCCCAACACAAGUCAUUACCACCUGCAACUGCUCCUGGCGUGAGUGAAAUGAAGGCGCCAAUCCAAUUCUCAACAAAUAUCCACACCUAAAGCAUUUUGGGCUCUGAACUGGAAGAGGAUUGCACCUCUUACCCCAGUUGCCAGGGAUAUAAAAUAAAUGAUUCACUGAAGAGGAGUUAAAGCAAAACCAUGAGGCAACCUAAGGAAGAAGCUGGUACAUGGGUAAAGUGUUCAGAAUCUGCUCUACAAAGGAGCAGGUAUCAACCGCAGGGGCAAGCAAUUCAGUUUUCAUCAACGACUAAUAUUCAUCUGACGGGAAAAAAAUGUAUUAAUAGAGACUUGGAAAGGGCUCAUAAAACAAAACCAACAGCCACAAAACUUCAUAAACUUUGACAGGUGAAUCAAGCAGCUAGCAGCUGGAGCUCCAAGAGGAGACAGAGCUGACAUCAUUCUGUCUUACAAUGUGUCACCAGCUACUACAUGGACAGAAAUCACAAGAAAACCAGGACCAAAUCCAAACAGUGAGUAAACUUGUCCUGGACAGAUAACAACUACCUCCAAACCCACGCUGCAGUCUGUUGUUGUGUUUUGGCAAGCCUUUUGCAGCUCAUUACAACAAAGCUCUAAGCUCGGACUGGAUAGAGAUCUUUGCCAUGGGGAAACCAUGCAGACACGCCAUUUCAUCCUCUGGCUCCUCUCACACCUGUCCAAAAAAGUGCAAAAGCCUCACUGUGCCUCCCCACGCUAGACUGGGGCAGUGUCAGGAACUUGCUACAUUAAAACUCUUUCCUUAAAA